rnacentral:rRNA from 1 species
UGGGGAAUAUUGGACAAUGGGCGCAAGCCUGAUCCAGCCAUGCCGCGUGAGUGAUGAAGGCCUUAGGGUUGUAAAGCUCUUUCGACGGGGACGAUAAUGACGGUACCCGUAGAAGAAGCCCCGGCUAACUUCGUGCCAGCAGCCGCGGUAAUACGAAGGGGGCUAGCGUUGCUCGGAAUCACUGGGCGUAAAGGGCGCGUAGGCGGACAUUUAAGUCAGAGGUGAAAGCCCAGGGCUCAACCCUGGAACAGCCUUUGAUACUGGGUGUCUCGAGACCGGAAGAGGUUGGUGGAACUGCGAGUGUAGAGGUGAAAUUCGUAGAUAUUCGCAAGAACACCGGUGGCGAAGGCGGCCAACUGGUCCGGUUCUGACGCUGAGGCGCGAAAGCGUGGGGAGCAAACAGGAUUAGAUACCCUGGUAGUCCACGCCGUAAACGAUGGAUGCUAGCCGUUGGCGGGUUUACCCGUCAGUGGCGCAGCUAACGCGUUAAGCAUCCCGCCUGGGGAGUACGGUCGCAAGAUUAAAACUCAAAGGAAUUGACGGGGUCAUAGC